GGGACCUCCUCGGUGGGUACGGCUCUUUCCAUUUCCGAUCGUGGCUGAUGUCCAGGCGGAUUUGGGGCGCUCUGUGUGUGAUCUUAGGCCGCAGCUAUUUCACCACCCCUACACACUUAUCAGGCCAAAACUGGGAGUCAUCCUUGAUUUCUCUUCAAACCUUACAGCAGAUCCUACCAGCUCCAAUUUCAAGAUAUGUACUUAUUGCUACCUUCAGCACUUCCAACCUGGUCCAAGCCACUUUCAUCGGGUACCUUAGUUACUUAUUUCAGAAGACUUCCCUGGUGGCUCAGACGGUAAAGCGUCUACCUACAAUGCAGGAG